rnacentral:rRNA from 1 species
CUGGCAUCGAUGAAGAACGCAGCGAAAUGCGAUAAGUAGUGUGAAUUGCAGAAUUCAGUGAAUCAUCGAAUCUUUGAACGCACAUUGCGCCCCUUGGUAUCCCGAGGGGCAUGCCUGUUCGAGCGUCAUUUCACCAUUCAAGCCUGGCUUGGUGUUGAGCGACGUCCCUUUAGGGACGCGCUUCGAAACGCUCGGCGGCGUGGCACCGGCUUUAAGCGUAGCAGAAUCUUUCGCUUUGAAAGUCGGGGCCCCGUCUGCCGGAAGACCUACUUCAAGGUUGACCUCGGAUCAGGUAGGGAUACCCGCUGAACUUAAGCAUAUCAAUAAGCGGAGGAA